UACGUAGGUGGCAAGCGUUAUCCGGAAUUAUUGGGCGAGAGCGCGCGCAGGUGGUUCCUUAAGUCUGAUGUGAAAGCCCACGGCUCAACCGUGGAGGGUCAUUGGAAAACUGGGGGAACUUUGAGUGCAGAAGAGGGAAGUGGAAUUCCACGUGUAGCGGUGAAAUGCGUAGAGAUGUGGAGGAACACCAGUGGCGAAGGCGACUUUCUGGUCUGUAACUGACACUGAGGCGCGAAAAGCGUGGGGGAGCAAACAGG
rnacentral:rRNA from 1 species